rnacentral:rRNA from 1 species
UGAUGGCGAGUGGCGAACGGGUGAGUAAUACAUCGGAACGUGCCCUGUAGUGGGGGAUAACUAGUCGAAAGAUUAGCUAAUACCGCAUACGACCUGAGGGUGAAAGUGGGGGACCGCAAGGCCUCAUGCUAUAGGAGCGGCCGAUGUCUGAUUAGCUAGUUGGUGAGGUAAAGGCUCACCAAGGCGACGAUCAGUAGCUGGUCUGAGAGGACGAUCAGCCACACUGGGACUGAGACACGGCCCAGACUCCUACGGGAGGCAGCAGUGGGGAAUUUUGGACAAUGGGCGAAAGCCUGAUCCAGCAAUGCCGCGUGUGUGAAGAAGGCCUUCGGGUUGUAAAGCACUUUUGUCCGGAAAGAAAUCGCACUUACUAAUACUAGGUGUGGAUGACGGUACCGGAAGAAUAAGGACCGGCUAACUACGUGCCAGCAGCCGCGGUAAUACGUAGGGUCCAAGCGUUAAUCGGAAUUACUGGGCGUAAAGCGUGCGCAGGCGGUUGUGCAAGACCGAUGUGAAAUCCCCGAGCUUAACUUGGGAAUUGCAUUGGUGACUGCACGGCUAGAGUGUGUCAGAGGGGGGUAGAAUUCCACGUGUAGCAGUGAAAUGCGUAGAGAUGUGGAGGAAUACCGAUGGCGAAGGCAGCCCCCUGGGAUAACACUGACGCUCAUGCACGAAAGCGUGGGGAGCAAACAGGAUUAGAUACCCUGGUAGUCCACGCCCUAAACGAUGUCAACUAGUUGUUGGGGAUUCAUUUCCUUAGUAACGUAGCUAACGCGUGAAGUUGACCGCCUGGGGAGUACGGUCGCAAGAUUAAAACUCAAAGGAAUUGACGGGGACCCGCACAAGCGGUGGAUGAUGUGGAUUAUUCGAUGCAACGCGAAAACCUUACCUACCCUUGA